rnacentral:rRNA from 1 species
CUACGGGCCGCUGCAGUGGGGAAUAUUGCACAAUGGGCGCAAGCCUGAUGCAGCCAUGCCGCGUGUAUGAAGAAGGCCUUCGGGUUGUAAAGUACUUUCAGCGGGGAGGAAGGGAGUAAAGUUAAUACCUUUGCUCAUUGACGUUACCCGCAGAAGAAGCACCGGCUAACUCCGUGCCAGCAGCCGCGGUAAUACGGAGGGUGCAAGCGUUAAUCGGAAUUACUGGGCGUAAAGCGCACGCAGGCGGUUUGUUAAGUCAGAUGUGAAAUCCCCGGGCUCAACCUGGGAACUGCAUCUGAUACUGGCCAGCUUGAGUCUCGUAGAGGGGGGUAGAAUUCCAGGUGUAGCGGUGAAAUGCGUAGAGAUCUGGAGGAAUACCGGUGGCGAAGGCGGCCCCCUGGACGAAGACUGACGCUCAGGUGCGAAAGCGUGGGGAGCAAACAGGAUUAGAUACCCUCGUAAUC